rnacentral:rRNA from 1 species
CCUACGGGGGGCAGCAGUGGGGAAUAUUGCGCAAUGGGCGAAAGCCUGACGCAGCGACGCCGCGUGAGGGAUGAAGGUCUUCGGAUCGUAAACCUCUGUCAGCAGGGAAGAACGGUCACUGUGCUAAUCAGCAGUGAAUUGACGGUACCUGCAAAGGAAGCACCGGCUAACUCCGUGCCAGCAGCCGCGGUAAUACGGAGGGUGCGAGCGUUAAUCGGAAUUACUGGGCGUAAAGCGCUCGUAGGCGGUAUGUCAAGUCAAGGGUGAAAUCCCCGCGCGCAACGUGGGAACUGCCUUUGAAACUGGGAGACUGGAGUGUGUGAGAGGAUAGUGGAAUUCCAGGUGUAGGAGUGAAAUCCGUAGAUAUCUGGAGGAACAUCAGUGGCGAAGGCGACUAUCUGGCACAUAACUGACGCUGAGGAGCGAAAGCGUGGGUAGCAAACAGGAUUAGAUACCCGGGUAGUC